rnacentral:rRNA from 1 species
GACGGGGCCGCACAAGCGGUGGAGCAUGUGGUUUAAUUCGAAGCAACGCGAAGAACCUUACCAGGUCUUGACAUCCCGAUGCUAUUUCUAGAGAUAGAAAGUACUUCGGUACAUCGGUGACAGGUGGUGCAUGGUUGUCGUCAGCUCGUGUCGUGAGAUGUUGGGUUAAGUCCCGCAACGAGCGCAACCCUCAUUGUUAGUUGCUACCAUUCAGUUGAGGACUCUAAUGAGACUGCCAACGAUAAGUUGGAGGAAGGUGGGGAUGACGUCAAAUCAUCAUGCCCUUUAUGACCUGGGCUACAAACGUACUACAAUGGCCAAUACAAAGAGAUGCGAAGCGGUGACGUGGAGCGAACCUCAGAAAGUUGGUCUCAGUUCAGAUUGAAGUCUGCAACUCGACUUCAUGAAGGCGGAAUCGCUAGUAAUCGCGGGUCAGCAGACCGCGGUGAAUACGUUCCCGGGUUUU